GAUGAACGCUGGCGGCGUGCCUAAUACAUGCAAGUCGAGCGAACGGACGAGAAGCUUGCUUCUCUGAUGUUAGCGGCGGACGGGUGAGUAACACGUGGAUAACCUACCUAUAAGACUGGGAUAACUUCGGGAAACCGGAGCUAAUACCGGAUAAUAUUUUGAACCGCAUGGUUCAAAAGUGAAAGACGGUCUUGCUGUCACUUAUAGAUGGAUCCGCGCUGCAUUAGCUAGUUGGUAAGGUAACGGCUUACCAAGGCAACGAUGCAUAGCCGACCGGAGAGGGUGAUCGGCCCCACUGGAACUGAGACACGGUCCAGACUCCUACGGGAGGCAGCAGUAGGGAAUCUUCCGCAAUGGGCGAAAGCCUGACGGAGCAACGCCGCGUGAGUGAUGAAGGUCUUCGGAUCGUAAAACUCUGUUAUUAGGGAAGAACAUAUGUGUAAGUAACUGUGCACAUCUUGACGGUACCUAAUCAGAAAGCCACGGCUAACUACGUG
rnacentral:rRNA from 1 species